rnacentral:rRNA from 1 species
UGGGGAAUAUUGCACAAUGGGGGAAACCCUGAUGCAGCGACGCCGCGUGAACGAAGAAGGUAUUCGUAUCGUAAAGUUCUGUCCUAUGGGAAGAUAAUGACAGUACCAUAGAAGAAAGCUCCGGCUAAAUACGUGCCAGCAGCCGCGGUAAUACGUAUGGAGCGAGCGUUGUCCGGAAUUAUUGGGCGUAAAGGGUACGCAGGCGGUUUAAUAAGUCGAAUGUUAAAGAUCGGGGCUCAACCCCGUAAAGCAUUGGAAACUGAUAAAGUUGAGUAGUGGAGAGGAAAGUGGAAUUCCUAGUGUAGUGGUGAAAUACGUAGAUAUUAGGAGGGAUACCAGUAGCGAAGGCGACUUUCUGGACACAAACUGACGCUGAGGUACGAAAGCGUGGGGAGCAAACAGG